rnacentral:rRNA from 1 species
GACGAACGCUGGCGGCGUGCUUAACACAUGCAAGUCGAGCGGGAUCCAACCGGUGGCAACACCGGGGAAGAUCUAGCGGCGAACGGGUGAGUAACACGUGAGCAACCUGCCCCGAAGACUGGGAUAACACCGGGAAACCGGUGCUAAUACCGGAUGUCGUCAUUAGGCCGCAUGACCUGAUGAUGAAAGGAUUCAUCGCUUCGGGAGGGGCUCGCGGGCUAUCAGCUUGNGGUGGGGUAACGGCCUACCAAGGCGACGACGGCUAGCUGGUCUGAGAGGACGACCAGCCACACUGGGACUGAGACACGGCCCAGACUCCUACGGGAGGCAGCAGUGGGGAAUCUUGCGCAAUGGGCGAAAGCCUGAUCCAGCGACGCCGCGUGGGUGAAGAAGGCCUGCGGGUUGUAAAGCCCUUUCAGUGGGGAAGAAAAGCCUCGAGCUAACACCUCGGGGUCUUGACGUAACCCAUAGAAGAAGCACCGGCUAACUCUGUGCCAGCCGCCGCA